UGGAUCUCAAAUCAGACAAGAUGACCCGCUGAACUUAAGCAUAUA
rnacentral:rRNA from 1 species